rnacentral:rRNA from 1 species
AUCGAACGCUGGCGGCAGGCCUAACACAUGCAAGUCGAGCGAGCGGCGGACGGGUGAGUAAUGUCUGGUAAACUGCCUGAUGGCGGGGGAUAACUACUGGAAACGGUAUCUAAUACCGCAUACCAUCCGAUGUGCGCAGAUGGGAUUAGCUCGUAGGUGGGGUAAUGGCUCACCUAGGCGACUAUCCCUAGCUGGUCUGAGAGGAUGACCAGCCACACUGGAACUGAGACACGGUCCAGACUCCUACGGGAGGCAGCAGUGGGGAAUAUUGCACAAUGGGCGCAAGCCUGAUGCAGCCAUGCCGCGGGUGUGAAGAAGGCCUUCGGGUUGUAAAGCACUUUCAGCGGGGAGGCGUUACCCGCAGAAGAAGCACCGGCUAACUCCGUGCCAGCAGCCGCGGUAAUUC